rnacentral:rRNA from 1 species
AAUACCUGCCAGCCGUGACGUUUACAACAGAAGAAGCACCGGCUAACUCCGUGCCAGCAGCCGCGGUAAUACGGAGGGUGCGAGCGUUAAUCGGAAUUACUGGGCGUAAAGCGCACGCAGGCGGUUUGUUAAGCUAGAUGUGAAAGCCCCGGGCUCAACCUGGGAUGGUCAUUUAGAACUGGCAGACUAGAGUCUUGGAGAGGGGAGUGGAAUUCCAUGUGUAGCGGCGAAAUGCGUAGAUAUCUGGAGGAACAUCAGUGGCGAAGGCGACUCCCUGGCCAAAGACUGACGCUCAUGUGCGAAAGUGUGGGUAGCGAACAGGAUUAGAUACCCUGGUAGUCCACACCGUAAACGCUGUCUACUAGCUGUGUGUGAUUUUAAAUCGUGCGUAGCGAAGCUAACGCGCUAAGUAGACCGCCUGGGGAGUAC